AGAUUGAACGCUGGCGGCGUGCUUAACACAUGCAAGUCGAGCGGUAACAGGUGUAGCAAUACAUGCUGACGAGCGGCGAACGGGUGAGUAAUGCUUCGGAAUCUACCUAGUAGUGGGGAACAACUAACCGAAAGGUUAGCUAAUGCCGCAUACGACCUAUGGGUGAAAGCGGGGGAUCGCAAGACCUCGCGCUAUUAGAUGAGCCGAAGUCGGAUUAGCUAGUUGGUAGGGUAACGGCCUACCAAGGCGACGAUCCGUAGCUGGUCUGAGAGGACGACCAGCCACACUGGGAUUGAGAACGGCCCAGACUCCUACGGGGGGCAGCAGUGAGGAAUUUUCGUCAAUGGGGGCAACCCUGAACGAGCAACGCCGCGUGCAGGAAGACGCUUUUCGGAGUGUAAACUGCUUUUCUUAGGGACGAGUAAGGACGGUACCUAAGGAAUAAGCCCCGGCUAACUACGUGCCAGCAGCCGC
rnacentral:rRNA from 1 species